AUGGAGGAGAGCAGGCCCGGGCGGUCGUGCACGGUGAACUCGAGUGAGGCGCAGUCCGACACGUCGGGGCCGCCGGGGCCGACCACGUUGCCGAGGCAGGUGGUGAACUUGGGGCUGCCGGAGCGCUGGAACGGCAGGAGCGCCCGCUGGAUGAAGCCCGGGAGCGACGGGUCCGUCAGCUUGCGCCCGAUCUGGUCCGUCACGUGGAACACUGCAUGGCGAACAAGAUUAGAAAAUUCCGCGUCAUCAAUCAUAGUAUAUUUUUCUGACCUAAAUCGAUCGGAGAAGAAAGAAAAAUGA
rnacentral:rRNA from 1 species